rnacentral:rRNA from 1 species
GACGAACGCUGGCGGCGGGCUUAACACAUGCAAGUCGAACGGAAAGGCCGUGCUAUUGUGGGGUUCCCGAGGGGGGAACGCGGGAGGAACACGUGAGUAACGUGCUCUUGUCUUUGGGAUAAGUUCAGGUAACUAGGGCUAAGAUCGGAUAGGAUCCCCCGCACCAGGGAGGGCAGUGGAACGUCUCGGCUGGCGGGGCUGGACUGGCGGCUGAUCAGCUUGCUGGUUGGGUAGGGGCUUACCAAGGCAUGGGCGGGUAGGCGGCCUGAGAGGGUGACCGGCCUCAUUGGGCCUGCGGUAGGGCGCAGAGUGGUACGGGAGGCAGCAGUCGCGAAUAUUGCCCAAUGAGCGGGAGCCUGAUGCAGCAACGCCGCGUGCGUGAUGACGGUCUUCGGGUUGUAAACCGCUUUCGCCUGUGACGAAGCGUGAGUGACGGUAAUGGGUAAAGAAGCACCGGCUAACUACGUG